GAGUUUGAUCUUGGCUCAGAUUGAACGCUGGCGGCAUGCCUUACACAUGCAAGUCGAACGGCAGCACGGGAGCUUGCUCCUGGUGGCGAGUGGCGAACGGGUGAGUAAUGCAUCGGAACGUAUCCUGGAGUGGGGGAUAACGUAGCGAAAGUUACGCUAAUACCGCAUAUUCUGUGAGCAGGAAAGCGGGGGACCUUCGGGCCUCGCGCUCUUGGAGCGGCCGAUGUCGGAUUAGCUAGUUGGUGAGGUAAAGGCUCACCAAGGCGACGAUCCGUAGCAGGUCUGAGAGGAUGAUCUGCCACACUGGAACUGAGACACGGUCCAGACUCCUACGGGAGGCAGCAGUCGGGAAUUUUGGACAAUGGGGGCAACCCUGAUCCAGCCAUGCCGCGU
rnacentral:rRNA from 1 species